GUCGGCCUCGCGCGUCCGCGCUCCCAGCCUUCCCGCCAACGCGGGAGACAAGCGCGGGCAUGUGCACCGUGUUGCGGGCCCUCGAAGGCCCAGGCCAGUCGUGCCCUGGCAGCGGGCGAAGCCACGUGGACUGGGCUGAGCUAGGCCAUGGUGCUCAUCUGCCAUCGCAGGCCUAGAACUGUAGGCAUGCAGCAGUGAGUUCCGGCCUUCGGUGUGCGAGGGUUAAAGGGCAUGGAAGAGUGAACCUGUGAGGAAAAGGAAUUCAGUUUCCAUAAUGUUACCACAUUGUUUUUUGAAAGUACUCAGGGAAGGAGGCCCUUAGAGCUGGGGCUGCAGAACGGACUUCAGAGGCCUAGAAGCAGGAGAGGUGCAAGAUCCAUCAGAACAAGAGAGGGGUAACACAGCAGGAGCUGGGGACAGAACCCAGGGCCUUGCGCCUGCUAGGCAAGCGCUCUACCACUGAGCUAAAUCCCCAAGCCCCGGAAUUUUUGAUUCUUGGUUGGUGAGAAACUUCAGUAGACUCUGGAGUCCUUUUCCCUCCCAUGCUCCAUAUCUGGCUUCACUAGAAUACUGACCUGUCUCUGCUCUCUUGACUCACUCUCCACACCUCCCUAUUGUUUCUUAGAGCUUUGCUUCCACUAACCGAUAAUGAAUGUUUCAUACCUCUCUUACAUGCUGUGUAUUCAACUCUGGGGACACUCAUAGUACUCACUUUCCUUAUGUGAGGUCAUGC
ensembl:lncRNA